AUUGAACGCUGGCGGCGGGCUUAACACAUGCAAGUCGAGCGGGGUGAUGGUGCUUGCACUAUCACUUAGCGGCGGACGGGUGAGUAAUGCUUAGGAAUCUGCCUAUUAGUGGGGGACAACAUCUCGAAAGGGAUGCUAAUACCGCAUACGUCCUACGGGAGAAAGCAGGGGAUCACUUGUGACCUUGCGCUAAUAGAUGAGCCUAAGUCGGAGUAGCUAGUUGGUGGGGUAAAGGCCUACCAAGGCGACGAUCUGUAGCGGGUCUGAGAGGAUGAUCCGCCACACGGGGACUGAGAGAAGGCCCAGACUCCUACGGGAGGCAGCAGUGGGGAAUAUUGGACAAUGGGGGGAACCCUGAUCCAGCCAUGCCGCGUGUGUGAAGAAGGCCUUAUGGUUGUAAAGCACUUUAAGCGAGGAGGAGGCUCUUUUGGUUAAUACCCAAGAUGAGUGGACGUUACUCGCAGAAUAAGCACCGGCUAACUCUGUGCCAGCCGCCGCCGUAA
rnacentral:rRNA from 1 species